AUUGAACGCUGGCGGAAUGCUUUACACAUGCAAGUCGAACGGCAGCACGGGGCAACCUGGUGGCGAGUGGCGAACGGGUGAGUAAUACAUCGGAACGUGCCCAAUCGUGGGGGAUAACGUAGCGAAAGUUACGCUAAUACCGCAUACGAUCUACGGAUGAAAGCGGGGAUCGCAAGACCUCGCGCGAAUGGAGCGGCCGAUGUCAGAUUAGGUAGUUGGUGGGGUAAAGGCUCACCAAGCCAACGAUCUGUAGCUGGUCUGAGAGGACGACCAGCCACACUGGAACUGAGACACGGUCCAGACUCCUACGGGAGGCAGCAGUGGGAAUUUUGGACAAUGGGCGCAAGCCUGAUCCAGCCAUUCCGCGUGCAGGAUGAAGGCC
rnacentral:rRNA from 1 species